rnacentral:lncRNA from 1 species
GAAAACACCAUAUUAGCCGAAGGAAAGGAUCAAGACAUCAGAGCAGGGACAACAGUAAUGUAACUGAUGAAUCUGAAUCUGACAAAGAUAGAGGCCAUGAAGAGUAUUCUGAUGUGGAUUGGGAUACUAUGAGUAGAGAGAAUGAAAAGCAGCAUGGCAGUAAUGGAAGGAACUCACAAAAGUGGAACAGGGAUAGUAGGUACCGGAUUUAUGAGGCUGGAUCAGAUGAGGAUAGACAUAGAAAAAGGCACCAUAGUAGCCAAAGGAAAGGAUCGAGACAUCGGAGCAGGGACAACAGUAAUGUAGCCGAUGAGUCUGAAUCUGACAAAGAUAGAGGACAUGAAAAGUAUUCUGAUGUGGAUUGGGAUACUAUGAGUAGGGACAAUGAAAAGCAGCAUGACAGCAAAGGAAAGAACUCACAAAAGAGGAAUGGAGAUAGUAAGUACCAGAUUGAUGAGGCUGGAUCAGAUGAGGAUAGACAUAGAAAAAAGCACCUUAGUAGCCAAAUGAAAGAAUCUAGACAUCAGAGUAGUGACAGCGGUUAUGGAAUUGAUGAAUCUGACAAAGAUAAAGG